GAAUACGGACACGGGGGCCGAAAGGCUGAGAGGAAGCUGACGCUUCAACCGCAAGAACGUAUACCGGGUAAUGCCGGCGCACGGACGUCUCUCUUUCCUGUGC
rnacentral:ncRNA from 1 species